AAAUUGAAGAGUUUGAUCAUGGCUCAGAUUGAACGCUGGCGGCAGGCCUAACACAUGCAAGUCGAACGGUAGCACAGAGAGCUUGCUCUCGGGUGACGAGUGGCGGACGGGUGAGUAAUGUCUGGGAAACUGCCUGAUGGAGGGGGAUAACUACUGGAAACGGUGGCUAAUACCGCAUAACGUCGCAAGACCAAAGAGGGGGACCUUCGGGCCUCUUGCCAUCAGAUGUGCCCAGAUGGGAUUAGCUUGUUGGUGAGGUAACGGCUCACCAAGGCGACGAUCCCUAGCUGGUCUGAGAGGAUGACCAGCCACACUGGAACUGAGACACGGUCCAGACUCCUACGGGAGGCAGCAGUGGGGAAUAUUGCACAAUGGGCGCAA
rnacentral:rRNA from 1 species